GCUUUCGUGGUGUAAGCGGUAAGCAUUUUCGGCUAGUAAUUGGAAGAUUCGUGGUUCGAUUCCCAACAAAGGCA
rnacentral:tRNA from 1 species